rnacentral:rRNA from 1 species
UACGUAGGGUGCAAGCGUUGUCCGGAAUUAUUGGGCGUAAAGAGCUCGUAGGCGGUUUGUCGCGUCUGCUGUGAAAACCCGAGGCUCAACCUCGGGCCUGCAGUGGGUACGGGCAGACUAGAGUGCGGUAGGGGAGAUUGGAAUUCCUGGUGUAGCGGUGGAAUGCGCAGAUAUCAGGAGGAACACCAGUGGCGAAGGCGGCAUCCUGGACUGGUCCUGACACUCAUGAGCGAAAGCGUGGGGAGCGAUCCGG